rnacentral:rRNA from 1 species
CAGUCGCCGCGGUAAUACGGAGGGUGCAAGCGUUAAUCGGAAUUACUGGGCGUAAAGCGUGCGUAGGCGGUUCGUUAAGUCUGUUGUGAAAGCCCCGGGCUCAACCUGGGAAUGGCAAUGGAUACUGGCGAGCUAGAGCGUGUCAGAGGAUGGUGGAAUUCCCGGUGUAGCGGUGAAAUGCGUAGAGAUCGGGAGGAACAUCAGUGGCGAAGGCGGCCAUCUGGGACAACACUGACGCUGAGGCACGAAAGCGUGGGGAGCAAACAGGAUUAGAUACCCCGGUAGUCCCUGUCUCUUAUAC